rnacentral:misc_RNA from 1 species
GAGGAAAAUGCAGGUGAAAAGAGUACAAAAAUACGUUGAAACACUAGAUGUGUUGAAGAUGAAAAAUUCAGCACCAUCAAGAAGCGGGAACCAUAUUCCGAAACAAGAAUCCUCCCCAUCUCCUCAGCAGCAUCAGCGUAGGUAUUCCAACGAUCAAGCAUCAUCCCCUGUUCAAAACCAGAACGGCAGCAGGCGUUCAUUCGCCAAUUCGCCUACACCAGCGAAACAUCAGGAGCCAUCCAGGCACUCAGCCUCGGGUUCUGUUGUGAUAACUACACAGUGGGAAACAUUUGAUCCCGCACCAGGGCCAUUACUGGAUCAUGACUCAACCACGACGCCAAGUAAUAAUAACAAUCAUGCUUCCUAUGCUCAACCUCGAUUCAAUUGGGAUUUGCUUUGAAAUAGUAAGUCUUGGUAGAAAGAAAAAAAAAGUUUUUAUCUUUGCUUAUUAGUUUUAAGGGACUGUUUGGGUGUGAAAUUUCUUGUUUCCACAAGUUGGUUUGGUUGGUACCUAUUCUCCAAUUCUUUUUUUGUAUGUAGAUUUCCCUGUUUCAUAUGAUCAUAUCAAUAAUUGGGAGUCACUACAUAAGGUUCCAUCAUGCUAUAUCACCAAUUUCCAAAUUGUAAUGUUUUGUCUUGUUGAUAAGCCAUGAUAUAAUAGGAGGCAUUCAUAUGUAGAAUGUUGAUACUUUGAAAUAUGAGUAGCCAAAAAUUAAAAAAAACAUUUGCAUUUUUCUCAAUUAAAGUGUAUCUAUC